GCAGAGGAUAGCCCAGUUGGUAGAGCAAGAGACUCUUAAUCUCAGGUUCGCGGGUUCGAGCCCCAUGUUAGGCA